rnacentral:rRNA from 1 species
GAGUUUGAUCCUGGCUCAGGAUAAACGCUGGCGGCGCACAUAAGACAUGCAAGUCGAACGGACUUAAUCAAUUUGUUUACAAAUUGAAGCGGUUAGUGGCGGACUGGUGAGUAACACGUAAGCAACCUGCCUGUUAGAGGGGAAUAACAAUGAGAAAUCAUUGCUAAUACCGCAUAUGCCAUAAAUAUCACAUGAUAUUAGUGGGAAAGGAGCAAUCCGCUAACAGAUGGGCUUGCGUCUGAUUAGAUAGUUGGUGGGGUAACGGCCUACCAAGUCAACGAUCAGUAGCCGGACUGAGAGGUUGAACGGCCACAUUGGGACUGAGAUACGGCCCAGACUCCUACGGGAGGCAGCAGUCGGGAAUAUUGCGCAAUGGAGGAAACUCUGACGCAGUGACGCCGCGUAUAGGAAGAAGGUUUUCGGAUUGUAAACUUCUUUUCUCAGGGACGAAGCAAGUGACGGUACCUGAGGAAUAAGCCACGGCUAACUACGUGCCAGCGGCCGCGGUAAUACGUAGGUGGCAAGCGUUGUCCGGAUUUAUUGGGCGUAAAGCGAGUGCAGGCGGUUCAAUAAGUCUGAUGUGAAAGCCUUCGGCUCAACCGGAGAAUUGCAUCAAAAACUGUUGAACUUGAG